CCUACGGGCGGCAGCAGUGGGGAAUAUUGCACAAUGGGGGAAACCCUGAUGCAGCGACGCCGCGUGAGUGAAGAAGUAUUUCGGUAUGUAAAGCUCUAUCAGCAGGGAAGAAAAUGACGGUACCUGACUAAGAAGCCCCGGCUAACUACGUGCCAGCAGCCGCGGUAAUACGUAGGGGGCAAGCGUUAUCCGGAUUUACUGGGUGUAAAGGGAGCGUAGACGGCAGCGCAAGUCUGGAGUGAAAUGCCAGGGCUUAACCCCGGAACUGCUUUGGAAACUGUGCAGCUGGAGUGCAGGAGAGGUAAGUGGAAUUCCUAGUGUAGCGGUGAAAUGCGUAGAUAUUAGGAGGAACACCAGUGGCGAAGGCGGCUUACUGGACUGUAACUGACGUUGAGGCUCGAAAGCGUGGGGAGCAAACAGGAUUAGAUACCCUAGUAGUC
rnacentral:rRNA from 1 species